CUUGUUUUUUAUUCCAAAUAUUCAACUUCCCAGAGAAGAAUUUCCACAGCAAGUAUUAGUGAAGAGAAUGAAGGUGGAGGGCCACAUAUCCAAUCUCGGGUAACUCACUAACAGCCCAAUUGGUUAAACAUCAUUGACAUUGGACUUAAUAAAAAGAAAACAGGGAUCUGCAUUUAAAUUCAGGAAUGAACACAUAAAGAGGGAGACACCAACACCAACUUUUUCUGUGAGAAAAGACCGUGUGAGGACACAAGGAAUAGGUGGCAAUCUGCAAGCUAAGGAGAGAGGUCACAGGAAAAACCAACCUUGUCAGCACCUUGAUAGAAGAUUUCUAGCCUCCAUAAAGGUGUUAUUCUCGGAAACUGUUGCCUAAUCUGAGGUCACGAAGAUAUACUCCUACGUUUUGCUAUAAGAGUUCAACAUUUUUACUACUUACAUUUAAGCCUGUCAUUCAUUUUUAAUUAAUUUAUGUACCUGGUGUUCUCAUUCUUUUAUAUGUAGAUAGCCAGUGGUCUCAGCCCCAUUAGUUAAAAAGGCUAUUCUUUCCUCAUUGAAUUAACUUGGCACUGUUGUUGAAAAUCAAUUUAGUGUUAAAUGUAAG
rnacentral:lncRNA from 1 species